rnacentral:rRNA from 1 species
AACGAACGCUGGCGGCGCGUCUUAAGCAUGCAAGUCGAACGGCAAGAGAGGAGCUUGCUUCUCUCCUAGAGUGGCGGACUGGUGAGGAACACGUGGGUAAUCUACCCUUAAGAUGGGGAUAGCUGCUAGAAAUAGCAGGUAAUACCGAAUACACUCGGCAUAUCAAAAGAGGUGUUGAGGAAAGUAAGCUACGGCUUCGCUUGAGGAUGAGCUUGCGUCCCAUUAGCUAGUUGGUGAGGUAAAGGCCCACCAAGGCGACGAUGGGUAUCCGGCCUGAGAGGGUGAACGGACACAUUGGGACUGAGAUACGGCCCAAACUCCUACGGGAGGCAGCAGCUAAGAAUAUUCCGCGAUGGACGGAAGUCUGACGGAGCGACGCCGCGUGGAUGAAGAAGGCUGAACAGUUGUAAAAUCCUUUUGUUGAUGAAGAAUAAGGGUGAGAGGGAAUGCUCAUCUGAUGACGGUAAUCGACGAAUAAGCCCCGGCUAAUUACGUG